rnacentral:rRNA from 1 species
ACUCCUACGGGAGGCAGCAGUGGGGAAUCUUGCGCAAUGGGCGAAAGCCUGACGCAGCCAUGCCGCGUGAAUGAUGAAGGUCUUAGGAUUGUAAAAUUCUUUCACCGGGGACGAUAAUGACGGUAUCCGGAGAAGAAGCCCCGGCUAACUUCGUGCCAGCAGCCGCGGUAAUACGAAGGGGGCUAGCGUUGCUCGGAAUUACUGGGCGUAAAGGGAGCGUAGGCGGACAUUUAAGUCAGGGGUGAAAUCCCGGGGCUCAACCUCGGAAUUGCCUUUGAUACUGGGUGUCUUGAGUAUGAGAGAGGUGUGUGGAACUCCGAGUGUAGAGGUGAAAUUCGUAGAUAUUCGGAAGAACACCAGUGGCGAAGGCGACACACUGGCUCAUUACUGACGCUGAGGCUCGAAAGCGUGGGGAGCAAACAGGAUUAGAAACCCUUGUAGUCCCA